rnacentral:rRNA from 1 species
CAGCAGCCGCGGGAAUACAGAGGGUGCGAGCGUUAAUCGGAUUUACUGGGCGUAAAGCGUGCGUAGGCGGCUUUUUAAGUCGGAUGUGAAAUCCCUGAGCUUAACUUAGGAAUUGCAUUAGAUACUGGGAAGCUAGAGUAUGGGAGAGGAUGGUAGAAUUCCAGGUGUAGCGGUGAAAUGCGUAGAGAUCUGGAGGAAUACCGAUGGCGAAGGCAGCCAUCUGGCCUAAUACUGACGCUGAGGUACGAAAGCAUGGGGAGCAAACAGGAUUAGAUACCCCAGUAGUCCCUGUCUCUUAUAC